AUGAUGCAGACAAUUAAGGCUGAAAGCGUUCCAGAGAAAUACAUACUCAGGAGAUACACCAAACGCCCGAACAUCCAACCAACAUUUGACAGAAAUGACUUGAGGACAGUAGCGUCAAACAAGGCAUCCCAAUACUGCAUUGAAAGCUCACUGCUGACGUUGAACAUGAGGGUGCACAGAAAAAGCUUGAGAAGCCAAGAGCAAAUGGCAAGGACGUGGGUUGUCAUGGACAAACUUGAACAAGAACUCGACGCCAUGCAUUCUGCUGAAAAUGGAGGUGUCGCGGACAAUAAAGCCAUUGAGCAGGAUAUUGCUACAAUGUUGUCUGAGAUGAACCAUAUGGGAGCUAUUGACCCGUUUGAGAACGAGGAAGAGGAGCAGCAGCAAUCGGAGCUUGCCAGUGUGCACACUCAAGAGCACCGACAAACUCACAUGCGAGAUCAUGAGCUUGAUGGUGCUGUAGGCGAACGACAUGACAAUAGCACAUCCUACCAGCAGUAG
rnacentral:rRNA from 1 species